GACGAACGCUGGCGGCGUGCCUAAUACAUGCAAGUCGAGCGGACUUUCAAGAAGCUUGCUUUUUGAAAGUUAGCGGCGGACGGGUGAGUAACACGUGGGCAACCUGCCUGCAAGACGGGGAUAACUUCGGGAAACCGGGGCUAAUACCGGAUAAUAUCUUCCUUCGCAUGAAGGAAGGUUGAAAGACGGCGCAAGCUGCCGCUAGCAGAUGGGCCCGCGGCGCAUUAGCUAGUUGGUGAGGUAACGGCUCACCAAGGCGACGAUGCGUAGCCGACCUGAGAGGGUGAUCGGCCACACUGGGACUGAGACACGGCCCAGACUCCUACGGGAGGCAGCAGUAGGGAAUCUUCCGCAAUAGACGAAAGUCUGACGGAGCAACGCCGCGUGAGCGAAGAAGGUCUUCGGAUCGUAAAGCUCUGUUGUCAGGGAAGAACAAGUACCGUUCGAACAGGGCGGUACCUUGACGGUACCUGACCAGAAAGCCACGGCUAACUACGUG
rnacentral:rRNA from 1 species